UACGUAGGGGGCAAGCGUUGUCCGGAUUUACUGGGCGUAAAGGGCGCGUAGGCGGCUUGGUAAGUCGGGGGUGAAAGUCAGCGGCUCAACCGCUGGACUGCCUUCGAGACUGCCUGGCUUGAGCAUGGUAGAGGCUGGCGGAAUUCCCGGUGUAGCGGUGGAAUGCGUAGAGAUCGGGAAGAACAUCGGUGGCGAAGGCGGCCAGCUGGGCCAUUGCUGACGCUGAGGAGCGAAAGCGUGGGGAGCGAACAGG
rnacentral:rRNA from 1 species